rnacentral:tRNA from 2 species
GCGGGUGUGGUGAAACUGGUAGACACGCUAGCCUUAGGAGCUAGUGAGGCAACUUGUGUGGGUUCGAGUCCCACCGCCCGCA